rnacentral:rRNA from 1 species
AUUGAACGCUGGCGGCAUGCUUUACACAUGCAAGUCGAACGGCAGCGCGGGCUUCGGCCUGGCGGCGAGUGGCGAACGGGUGAGUAAUGCAUCGGAACGUGCCCAGUAGUGGGGGAUAGCCCGGCGAAAGCCGGAUUAAUACCGCAUACGACCUGAGGGUGCAAGCGGGGGACGGAAAGGCCUCGCGCUAUUGGAGCGGCCGAUGUCGGAGUAGCUAGCUGGUGGGGUAAAGGCUUACCAAGGCGACGAUUCGUAGCUGGUCUGAGAGGACGACCAGCCACAUGGGGACUGAGACACGGCCCAGACUCCUACGGGAGGCAGCAGUGGGGAAUGUUAGACAAUGGGGGCAACCCUGAUCCAGCCAUGCCGCGUGCGGGAAGAAGGCCUUCGGGUUGUAAACCGCUUUUGUUCGGGAAGAAAUCCUCUGGGCUAAUACCCCGCGGGGAUGACGGUACCGGAAGAAUAAGCACCGGCUAACUACGUG